CUCUGGAUAGCUCAGUUGGAGGAGAAUGGGCCUCUUAUUAAUCUCAAGGUCGUGAGUUCGAGCCCUGCUUUAGGGG